GGAAUCUCUGAGCCCGUCAGACCCAGAGCAGAGUGACCACAGGCAGGCUGUUUGGCCGCCAGGCUCCCAGAGGAGCGAGCCAAGCAGCGAGGCAGGCGGCGGUUUGACGUGGCAGAGAGCAGCAGCAGAGAGAGGAGUUUCAGAUUACUGCUGAUGUCGGGCACCUGGCAGUGACCAGAGAGCAGCUUUCACAGCACUGCACAAACAGCUUCUCUGAUAAAAACAGGUACUCAAGACUUCCUCGCCCUCAGAUCAGAUCCAGGGUCAGUGGAUCUUCCUCUGUGACUGUCUGAUCAACUCGAUCGCCUGUGCACAAACGGUCACUGAGUGUCUUUCAGAACGGACACCAGGAGCCUGUUGGAGCGAGCCAGACAGGAAACGAUGUGAUGCUCACAGCUUUGUCUGGCCGUACUGAUCAUCGAGCAGACGCCUUCACUGCAAUCCAGUCGACAGUUAAAGGUCAGAACAACAAUCUCUGAGCAGCCACACAGCAGAAAAACUACUGUGGAAAAAUACUCGAGUACACAGGUUCCCUCCACAAAGCCUCAGGAAAUCCACACAUGACAGUGUGGUGUGAUGGACAAUCACCUAAAAAUCCUCCUGCUUUCAUGAUCAGCACGACAAAAGACAAAACAGCUGCUGCCAUCAGUGUAUUACUGAGCGUUUUGUGUCUGAUGAGGCAUCUGCUACAAACUGAGCCCCCUGGAUCGUAUAUCACCUGAAGCAACACACUUCAGCCGAAACAUCACAACGAAAGCAAACGCAACCUCAACGGUCACCAUUUUGAAGACAAAAUCCAGCAUG